UACGGGGGGGGCAAGCGUUGUUCGGAAUUACUGGGCGUGAAGGGCUCGUAGGCGGCCAACUAAGUCAGACGUGAAAUCCCUAGGCUCAACCUAGGAACUGCGUCUGAUACUGGAUGGCUUGAAUCCGGGAGAGGGAUGCAGAAUUCCAGGUGUAGCGGUGAAAUGCGUAGAGAUCUGGAGGAAUACCGAUGGCGAAGGCAGCCAUCUGGCCUAACACUGACGCUGAGGUGCGAAAGCAUGGGGAGCAAACAGG
rnacentral:rRNA from 1 species